rnacentral:rRNA from 1 species
CCUACGGGGGGCUGCAGUGGGGAAUAUUGGACAAUGGGGGGAACCCUGAUCCAGCCUUGCCGCGUGUGUGAAGAAGGCCCUCGGGUUGUAAAGCACUUUCAGUGAGGAAGAACGCCUGGUGGUUAAUACCCAUCAGGAAAGACAUCACUCACAGAAGAAGCACCGGCUAACUCCGUGCCAGCAGCCGCGGUAAUACGGAGGGUGCGAGCGUUAAUCGGAAUUACUGGGCGUAAAGCGCGCGUAGGUGGCUUGAUAAGCCGGUUGUGAAAGCCCCGGGCUCAACCUGGGAACGGCAUCCGGAACUGUCAAGCUAGAGUGCAGGAGAGGAAGGUAGAAUUCCCGGUGUAGCGGUGAAAUGCGUAGAGAUCGGGAGGAAUACCAGUGGCGAAGGCGGCCUUCUGGACUGACACUGACACUGAGGUGCGAAAGCGUGGGUAGCAAACAGGAUUAGAUACCCCUGUAGUC